GCGUCCGUAGCUCAGCUGGUUAGAGUAUCGCCUUGACAUGGUAGGGGUCGGCGAUUCGAGUUCGCCCGGACCCACCA
rnacentral:tRNA from 1 species